rnacentral:rRNA from 1 species
AGAUUGAACGCUGGCGGCAUGCUUUACACAUGCAAGUCGAACGGUAGAGGGGGCAACCCUUGAGAGUGGCGAACGGGUGAGUAAUGCAUCGGAACGUGCCAGUCGGUGGGGGAUAACUACUCGAAAGAGUGGCUAAUACCGCAUACGACCUGAGGGUGAAAGCGGGGGACCGAAAGGCCUCGCGCGAUUGGAGCGGCCGAUGUCAGAUUAGGUAGUUGGUGGGGUAAAGGCCUACCAAGCCUGCGAUCUGUAGCUGGUCUGAGAGGACGACCAGCCACACUGGGACUGAGACACGGCCCAGACUCCUACGGGAGGCAGCAGUGGGGAAUUUUGGACAAUGGGCGCAAGCCUGAUCCAGCCAUGCCGCGUGCGGGGAAGAAGGCCUUCGGGUUGUAAACCGCUUUUGUCGGGGAAGAAAUCCUUUGGGUUAAUACCUCGGAGGGAUGACGGC